rnacentral:rRNA from 1 species
GACAGAGGGUGCAAACGUUGUUCGGAUUUACUGGGCGUAAAGCGCGUGUAGGCGGCUUGGCAAGUUGAAUGUGAAAGCCCACGGCUCAACCGUGGAAGCGCAUCCAAAACUGCUUCGCUUGAGUCUCGGAGAGGAAGGUGGAAUGCUUGGUGUAGAGGUGAAAUUCGUAGAUAUCAAGCAGAACACCUGCGGCGAAGGCGGCCUUCUGGACGAUGACUGACGCUGAGGCACGAAAGCGUGGGGAGCAAACAGG